rnacentral:rRNA from 1 species
UACAGGGGGUGCAAGCGUUGCUCGGAAUCACUGGGCGUAAAGCGUCCGCAGGCGGAUGCGUGUGUCGGGUGUGAAAGCCCAGGGCUCAACCCUGGAACUGCACUCGAAACUGCGCAUCUGGAGUACGGGAGAGGAGGGCGGAAUUCCUGGUGUAGAGGUGAAAUUCGUAGAUAUCAGGAGGAACACCGGUGGCGAAAGCGGCCCUCUGGUCCGAUACUGACGCUCAUGGACGAGAGCGUGGGGAGCAAACAGG